rnacentral:tRNA from 1 species
CAUCCCAUAUCAUAGUGGUUAGCACUCUGGACUUUGAUUCCAGCGAUCCGAGUUCAAAUCUCGGUGGGACCU